UCUUGCACUCCUGGCCUCAAGUAAUCCGCCCGCCUCGGCCUCCCAAAGUGCUGGGAUUAUAGACCUGAGCCACCUCACUGGGCCACCUUUUGUAGAUUAUUGUUUGGAAUGCCCCUCCUAGUUCUCUAAUUGGCUUUCUCGGAUCCCUCUUGACCCCACCCUUUGUCCUUUUAAGGUAUAGACCACACCCCUUCUCUAAUUGAUUCCACCCCUCAGGCCUUAUUAGGGUUGAUGCAACCCUUCCUGCUCUCUAAUUGGUGUUUCCCAUGUCGCUAUAUGUUCCGGAAUGCCUGGCCAUAGCUGAUUGGCCUACCCAUUUCCCUCAAGGCCCCGCCCUUGGGUUGGGAUCGCCCUGCCCCUUCCGGUCUUCCCAAGCACUGGCCACCCAGUCCUUACAUCGUACACAGCUCGUCCGCCCGACCUCGCAGCUCCUGCAAGCCCCGCGCCGUCUGUGCCUGCUCGCGCUGUGCCCGCUCCCACUGGCCCAGGAAGCCGUCGACCCUGCCGCCCAGGCCCCCGAGCAGUCGCAGGGCUUCCUGCACCGCCCCCUCCUCCUGAUGCCACCGGGCGGUCAGCGAGGACACCUCUCUCCUGGAGGGGCAGAGAGGGGGAAUGGGUCGGGGCUAGGCUUGGACAGGUCCCCAUCUGCCCCCACAAGAUAGGCGGAACAGGACUCACCUAUCUCGCCCCACUGAGACCAUGCCGGUGGCUCCAGACCCACCCAGGUCUCCAAAUUUUCUUGCACUCUCCAUUUGGUGAAAUUUGGUCCUGUCUUCCAGAGCCCCGCCUUUAUCCCCUUACUUUACUGGCUGUCUUGGCCCUUCCCUGGUCAGGUCCCCAACCUCUACCUCAGCUCCUCCACACACUGCCCCCCAAGGCACUGUCCACCCUACUCUGCCCCACUUGGUACCUCCAGGACCGCUCCUCUCCCAAGCCCCGCCCACCUCAGUUUCACCAGGCCUGGACCUGCCUCCCAGCAGCCCAGAACUCAAAAAUUCAUUAUUUUGUCCCUCCCUUGCUCAGGUCACUGCCUUCGGGGCACUCCCUCCUCUGCUCUUGGAGACCCCAGGCUUGUCGUCCUCCGGUUAGAAUCUUUGAGGCUCCUCCGCUGUGUCCCCGCCCACUGCAGCUCCUGGAGACUCUGCCCACGACUCUGCCCACCUUCGUUCCUCGAGGCUCCUCCCAUGUCCCCUCCCACCUCAGGUUCUCGAGGCUCCACCGAUAUCACCUCCCACCUCAGCUCCACGAGGCUCCCUGAGUCCCCACCCAUGCCUCUCCUUGAGAACCCCGUCCCUUGGGUCCCGCCCACCGCAGCUCCUCGAGGCUCCACCCCUGAGUCCCCGCCCACCUCGUUUCGAGGCCCCGCCCCUAGGUCCCGCCCACCUCAGCUCCUCGAUGCCGGUGAACACCUUCUGCAAUUCCUGCUCGCUCACGUAGGGGCCCUCACCUGCCCGAGGCCCCAUUCCCCAGCCUGCGGGGACCAGGCCGCGAGGCCGCGAGGGUUUGUCAGGACUCCCUGGCGGGCCGGGGCAGCCCUGGGACGUGGCGGCGGGGCCCAGGCCGUUCCGGGAAAGGCCAGCCUCCGGCUUCUGCUGCUGCUGCUCCGGCUCCUGCUGCUCGGUCUCCUGCCGUCGCGGCGUCUCAUCCUGCAGCUGCUGCUGGAGGUAGCGCAGCUUCUCCUGGUCGCCUGCCUCCAGGUAUCCACCCGGCCCUCCAAGCCUUCCAGGCGUCAAAUACCAGUCCCGGCCACUUGGCAAGAACAACUGAAGCUUUCUCAGCAUUUUGUUGGAAAAUGAGUGGGCAUGUGGACAGGACAGGCCUUCUCACUUGAAGUCCAGCUCGAGUCUCUUUCUGGGACCUGAAUGUGACUGCAGGCUGGUGAUGGAGUCUUUGGCGCGGACCAAUCCACUGUUGACCCCACUCUGGGGAAGAAUGGGAGACAGAAUUAUAGUCAAUUUCUGAGUCAUCCCUUAAAGGAAGGAAUAAGAACUUUCCCUUUUUCUCUCAUUUCACUGGAAUGCACAAAUGAGGGCUGUCUUGGACCAGCAGAUAGAGGACACAACGAGACAGAAGGAGCCUGAAUCCUUGACAUGGAGCCACCAUACUCCAUUCCAAUCACCUGUGAAGACUUUCAGGGGAAAGAGAGGCAGAGAGCCAUUUGCCAGCUGGUUAUGACCAAUUCCAGCCAGUGGAAGGGAAGUGGGCACUGGUGGAUGUGUGGAAAAGACAGGCAUGAUCUCUUCCCCUGUUCCUCCUGCUGAAUGGCUGGAAGGCAGUGGUGAGAGCAACUGUCUAGAAAUGGCCGAACAACCAGAACAUAGAUGCCUGUAACCUGCUGCAUUUGAAGAGCAGAGCUACUAUGCUUAUCAAGUCUUUUAUGUGCAAAAAAACCACAGCUCUCUUGAUUUCUCUCAUGGUUGCUGAACUAAUUCACAAAAGAAAGAGAGAACAAGUUUCCUCCCUUGUAAGAUGGGGGCAGCAACACAUUUCUUGCAUGAUUGCUCUGGGGAAGAAGUGUGGUAAGAAAUAUUGUAUCCAGGAGGCGGAGCUUGCAGUGAGCCGAGAUCGCGCCACUGCACUCCGGCCCGGGCGACAGAGACUCCGCCUCAAAAAAAAAAAAAAAAAAAAAAAAUUGUAUCCAGCUGACAUCAACAAAAUGGUGGAUUAAAGAAUUCAGGCCGGGCACAGUGGCUCACACCUGUAAUCCCAGCACUUUGGGAGGCCAAGGUGGGUGGAUCACUUGAGGU